AGGGGAAACGAUAUUGGAAGCUUGCUUCCGAUAGGCGUCGACCGGCGCACGGGUGAGUAACACGUAUCCAACCUGCCCAUCACUUGGGGAUAACCUUGCGAAAGUAAGACUAAUACCCAAUGGCGUCUCUAGAAGACAUCUGGAGGAGAUUAAGGAUUUAUCGGUGAUGGAUGGGGAUGCGUCUGAUUAGCUUGUUGGCGGGGUAACGGCCCACCAAGGCUACGAUCAGUAGGGGUUCUGAGAGGAAGGUCCCCCACAUUGGAACUGAGACACGGUCCAAACUCC
rnacentral:rRNA from 1 species